CAUAACACACAGAGCUGUACAAACCAGCACAAUCCAGGGGAUUGUGGAGCUUUUCCCAGCCAUGUCCGUGCUGGACCUCGCACCCUGUGCCCCUCUGUGCGAUUUGUUCUGGCUUUGCUGAGCGUCCCCGGGGCACAAAUGAGCCCUGAGAGUCCAUCAGUGCUCCGACCAUUCCCACAGAAUCCUUUCAGUUUAAGCCACAUAAACCAGAGGCAAGAAACCAGAGAGAAACCCCCCAAGCUUCUCAUACCCGAAUAAACUCGGCCUCAGCAUUAAACAUCACCGGGGAAAAGAAAUACAAGGCAUAAAAAAUACAUAUCUGCUAAUAGAAUAAAUGCACUGUGAAUAUACAAAAAUAA